ensembl:antisense Gm14508 predicted gene 14508
GAGGGAGUUCCAAUGAAGGUAACCGGAUGCUUCCUGUCUGCAAGAGCAGACCAGAGACCCACUGUGUGUUCCAUGCUCCCGAGAAGUGGAUGGUAAGCCAAGCCUCUACAGCUAGACGAGGAAGUAUGUUGCAGUAGGUGAAUCUACAAGUGGACACGUGAACACUUCACCACACCUUUCUACCUCCCUAGAGCAUCUUCAUUCACAUUCCCAACUCUUAAGAACAUGCACUUGUGUGUGUGUGUGUGUGUGUGUGUGUACAGGCUACUAGCUUGAGGUUCCUGCCUCAAGGGAAGGGCACAUUCCUGUCACUCAACACUACGGGAAUCCCAGGCCUGAAGUGACUUUAAGAUCUCACAGCUGCCAACAGGCCUCUGAGGCCUUGGGGUGGAGGGAAACCAAGAGCUCUAACACAGUGUGACCAGGCCCUUCCACAUGAAGCUGGACGGCCUAUGCCACACACAGGCAUAUUGAGGGCUCUGAGUGGUGGCCUGGGGAGUGGCCACCCGCAUCCUACAGAGCCCUGCAGUGGUUAUGUUUGAGUCUGGGAAAUCUGCUGGGGACAAAUAACCCAUGCACACAGGAGCACACAAGAGAAGUGGAGUGGGAGGAUCCAGGUCCUAGUCCAGCUCUGCCCUAGCAGGGCCUCCAAGGCAUGCACAGGUCCAGUGAGCUCCUACGGGGCAGGCAGAGCAGGAUGGCUGCUGAUGAGAGAACAAGGAGAGGCCCUGUGUGCCUCAGCUGCACGCUGC